GAGAGGAAGACACCUGCAGCCCUGCUUCGCCACUUGUGAAGCUUCCCCUCUGCAGGUGGGGAGUAAGGGUUUGAACCUGGGUCCUUAUACACUGUAAUAGGUGCGCUUAACCAGGUCUGCCACUGCCUGGCCUGAAAACUUCCUCUUUAAAAAGUCCUGCAUUUCCCACCUGCGGGGGGGGGGGGGGGGUCUUUCUCUCCCCCUCUCUGUCUUCCCAUCCUCUCUCCAUUUCUCUCUGUCCUAUCCAAUAAUGAAGGCAGCAAUAACAACAACAACAAUAAACAACAAGGGCAACAAAAGGGGGGGGGGGAAGCCUCCAGGAGCGGUGGAUUCAUAGUGUAGGCACCAAGCCCCAGCAAUAACCCUGGAUGCAAAAAAAAAAAAAAAAUCCUGUAUUCAUACAGGUUCCAGAAAGGCUACUCUAGGCCUUCAUGAAAGCUCAACAAAGUUCUUUAAAAAAAAAAAAAGUUUUUAUUCUCACAUUGCCAAUUUCAUGUUCCCAUUUACCCUAUAUCCAGAGCACGCCUGAGGAUGCCCUGUGGUUUCACAAAAAUACAUAAUGCAGUAUUUUUUUUACACUGCAGAUUGCCAGCACUGGCUCUAAACCAAAGAAAUAAGCAUUUCUCAAACACUUUGACAUGUGACAACUGAUAUUUGGCAUUUAACCAGCAGGUGGCGCUAUCUCCCCAAGUAGGUCACCAAAACUGUCUUCAGCUCCAGAAGUCAGAACUUCCAGACAGAACAUGAGAUUCUCUUCCCAAUGGUACAUAGCAAUCCAGACUUGAAAAGGAUUUGCCUUCCUAGGAAGCUGGGAAACAAUAGGAAGGCCUUGUGAUUGACCAUGUGAACAUUACCAAGAUGCCACUGCCAGCAAAUGUGAUGGAUGUUACAAGGCUGUACUUGCAAUGAAAUGAAUGUUGGUGACCGCUCAAAAUUAAGUGAAAGCCCUUAACUCCAA